CCACAUCACGUUUAAAUCACGUACGAUCACCGAAGUUAAGCAAUGUCGAGUCUGCUCAGUACAUAGAUGGGUGACCACUUUGGAAUACCAGGUACUGUAU